rnacentral:rRNA from 1 species
GCGGCUCGGAGGAGGCAACGGUGCAACUUUCUUCGGUCGUCCCGAAUCCGGGUUCAUCCGACACCAGCCGCCUCCACCAUGCCGCCCAAGUUCGACCCCAACGAGGUCAAAGUCGUGUACCUGAGGUGCACCGGAGGC